UCAGUUGCUCAGUUGUGUCUGACUCUUUGCGACCCUAUGGACAGUAGUCCGCCAGGCCCCGCUGUCCAUGGGGAUUCUCCAGGCUGGAAUGCUGGAGUGGGUUGCCAUGCCCUCUUCCAGGGGAUCUUCCCAACCGAGGGACUGAACCAGCCAGGUCUUCCGUAUUGCAGGCAGAUUCCUGACCGUCUGUGCCAUCAGGGCGUGAACAGAGCCUGCGGUGAAGACAAAGGUGGCAGAAUGGUGCUCCUGUGUGGUAAAACAACUAGACAUGUGUGGAGCAGUUUAUGCAACAAAGACAAAGCAAAACUGGAGGACCUAUGAUCCAAGACAAGGCAAGUGUAGAAAACUGGAUGUAUUUAUGUUCAUCUCUAUAUGUGUUAUUUUUAAGUUUUUC
ensembl:lncRNA